rnacentral:rRNA from 1 species
GACCAAUGGGGGAAACCCUGAUCCAGCGACGCCGCGGUGUGUGAAGAAGGCCUGCGGGUUGUAAAAGCACUUUUCUAGUGGGGACACAAAAUGUCAUGGGCGAAUACCCCGUGAUCUUGAUUUAACUCACAGAAAAAGCACCGGUAACUCUGUGCCAGCAGCCGCGG